rnacentral:rRNA from 1 species
GAUGAACGCUAGCGGCAGGCUUAAUACAUGCAAGUCGAACGGUAAGGUCUCUUCGGAGAUACACGAGUGGCGCACGGGUGCGUAACGCGUAUGCAACCUACCUUUAACUGGGAAAUAGCCCCGAGAAAUCGGGAUUAAUGUCCCAUAUUAUUCUUUGAAUACCUAUUCGAGGAAUGAAAGCUCCGGCGGUUAUUGAUGGGCAUGCGUGACAUUAGCUAGUUGGUGAGGUAACGGCUCACCAAGGCAACGAUGUCUAGGGGUCCUGAGAGGGUUAACCACCACACUGGUACUGAGACACGGAACAGACUCCUACGGGAGGCAGCAGUAAGGAAUAUUGGGCAAUGGACGCAAGUCGGACCCAGCCAUGCCGCGUGAAGGAUGAAUGUCCUAUGGAUUGUAAACUUCUUUUAUGCAGGAAAAAUAUCCCGGUCGUGAACCGGGACUGAUGGUACUGUAUGAAUAAGCAUCGGCUAACUCCGUGCCAGCCGCCGCCGUAA